rnacentral:rRNA from 1 species
GUUAAGCGACUAAGCGUACACGGUGGAUGCCCUGGCAGUCAGAGGCGAUGAAGGACGUGCUAAUCUGCGAUAAGCGUCGGUGAGGUGAUAUGAACCGUUAUAACCGGCGAUUUCCGAAUGGGGAAACCCAGUGUGUUUCGACACACUAUCAUUAACUGAAUCCAUAGGUUAAUGAGGCGAACCGGGGGAACUGAAACAUCUAAGUACCCCGAGGAAAAGAAAUCAACCGAGAUUCCCCCAGUAGCGGCGAGCGAACGGGGAGGAGCCCAGAGCCUGAAUCAGUGUGUGUGUUAGUGGAAGCGUCUGGAAAGGCGUGCGAUACAGGGUGACAGCCCCGUACACAAAAAUGCACAUAUUGUGAGCUCGAUGAGUAGGGCGGGACACGUGGUAUCCUGUCUGAAUAUGGGGGGACCAUCCUCCAAGGCUAAAUACUCCUGACUGACCGAUAGUGAACCAGUACCGUGAGGGAAAGGCGAAAAGAACCCCGGCGAGGGGAGUGAAAAAGAACCUGAAACCGUGUACGUACAAGCAGUGGGAGCCUCUUAAUGGGGUGACUGCGUACCUUUUGUAUAAUGGGUCAGCGACUUAUAUUCUGUAGCAAGGUUAACCGAAUAGGGGAGCCGAAGGGAAACCGAGUCUUAACUGGGCGUUAAGUUGCAGGGUAUAGACCCGAAACCCGGUGAUCUAGCCAUGGGCAGGUUGAAGGUUGGGUAACACUAACUGGAGGACCGAACCGACUAAUGUUGAAAAAUUAGCGGAUGACUUGUGGCUGGGGGUGAAAGGCCAAUCAAACCGGGAGAUAGCUGGUUCUCCCCGAAAGCUAUUUAGGUAGCGCCUCGUGAAUUCAUCUCCGGGGGUAGAGCACUGUUUCGGCAAGGGGGUCAUCCCGACUUACCAACCCGAUGCAAACUGCGAAUACCGGAGAAUGUUAUCACGGGAGACACACGGCGGGUGCUAACGUCCGUCGUGAAGAGGGAAACAACCCAGACCGCCAGCUAAGGUCCCAAAGUCAUGGUUAAGUGGGAAACGAUGUGGGAAGGCCCAGACAGCCAGGAUGUUGGCUUAGAAGCAGCCAUCAUUUAAAGAAAGCGUAAUAGCUCACUGGUCGAGUCGGCCUGCGCGGAAGAUGUAACGGGGCUAAACCAUGCACCGAAGCUGCGGCAGCGACACUAUGUGUUGUUGGGUAGGGGAGCGUUCUGUAAGCCUGUGAAGGUGGCCUGUGAGGGUUGCUGGAGGUAUCAGAAGUGCGAAUGCUGACAUAAGUAACGAUAAAGCGGGUGAAAAGCCCGCUCGCCGGAAGACCAAGGGUUCCUGUCCAACGUUAAUCGGGGCAGGGUGAGUCGACCCCUAAGGCGAGGCCGAAAGGCGUAGUCGAUGGGAAACAGGUUAAUAUUCCUGUACUUGGUGUUACUGCGAAGGGGGGACGGAGAAGGCUAUGUUGGCCGGGCGACGGUUGUCCCGGUUUAAGCGUGUAGGCUGAUUUUCCAGGCAAAUCCGGAAAAUCAAGGCUGAGGCGUGAUGACGAGGCACUACGGUGCUGAAGCAACAAAUGCCCUGCUUCCAGGAAAAGCCUCUAAGCAUCAGGUAACAUCAAAUCGUACCCCAAACCGACACAGGUGGUCAGGUAGAGAAUACCAAGGCGCUUGAGAGAACUCGGGUGAAGGAACUAGGCAAAAUGGUGCCGUAACUUCGGGAGAAGGCACGCUGAUAUGUAGGUGAAGCGACUUGCUCGUGGAGCUGAAAUCAGUCGAAGAUACCAGCUGGCUGCAACUGUUUAUUAAAAACACAGCACUGUGCAAACACGAAAGUGGACGUAUACGGUGUGACGCCUGCCCGGUGCCGGAAGGUUAAUUGAUGGGGUUAGCGGCAACGCGAAGCUCUUGAUCGAAGCCCCGGUAAACGGCGGCCGUAACUAUAACGGUCCUAAGGUAGCGAAAUUCCUUGUCGGGUAAGUUCCGACCUGCACGAAUGGCGUAAUGAUGGCCAGGCUGUCUCCACCCGAGACUCAGUGAAAUUGAACUCGCUGUGAAGAUGCAGUGUACCCGCGGCAAGACGGAAAGACCCCGUGAACCUUUACUAUAGCUUGACACUGAACAUUGAGCCUUGAUGUGUAGGAUAGGUGGGAGGCUUUGAAGUGUGGACGCCAGUCUGCAUGGAGCCGACCUUGAAAUACCACCCUUUAAUGUUUGAUGUUCUAACGUUGGCCCGUAAUCCGGGUUGCGGACAGUGUCUGGUGGGUAGUUUGACUGGGGCGGUCUCCUCCUAAAGAGUAACGGAGGAGCACGAAGGUUGGCUAAUCCUGGUCGGACAUCAGGAGGUUAGUGCAAUGGCAUAAGCCAGCUUGACUGCGAGCGUGACGGCGCGAGCAGGUGCGAAAGCAGGUCAUAGUGAUCCGGUGGUUCUGAAUGGAAGGGCCAUCGCUCAACGGAUAAAAGGUACUCCGGGGAUAACAGGCUGAUACCGCCCAAGAGUUCAUAUCGACGGCGGUGUUUGGCACCUCGAUGUCGGCUCAUCACAUCCUGGGGCUGAAGUAGGUCCCAAGGGUAUGGCUGUUCGCCAUUUAAAGUGGUACGCGAGCUGGGUUUAGAACGUCGUGAGACAGUUCGGUCCCUAUCUGCCGUGGGCGCUGGAGAACUGAGGGGGGCUGCUCCUAGUACGAGAGGACCGGAGUGGACGCAUCACUGGUGUUCGGGUUGUCAUGCCAAUGGCACUGCCCGGUAGCUAAAUGCGGAAGAGAUAAGUGCUGAAAGCAUCUAAGCACGAAACUUGCCCCGAGAUGAGUUCUCCCUGACUCCUUGAGAGUCCUGAAGGAACGUUGAAGACGACGACGUUGAUAGGCCGGGUGUGUAAGCGCAGCGAUGCGUUGAGCUAACCGGUACUAAUGAACCGUGAGGCUUAACCUUACAACGCCGAAG